UGAGGAAUAUUGGUCAAUGGACGCAAGUCUGAACCAGCCAAGUAGCGUGCAGGAUGACGGCCCUAUGGGUUGUAAACUGCUUUUAUGCGGGGAUAAGGAGUCCACGUGUGGAUUUUUGCAGGUACCGCAUGAAUAAGGACCGGCUAAUUCCGUGCCAGCAGCCGCGGUAAUACGGAAGGUCCGGGCGUUAUCCGGAUUUAUUGGGUUUAAAGGGAGCGUAGGCCGCGUUUUAAGCGUGUUGUGAAAUGUAGACGCCCAACGUCUGCAUCGCAGCGCGAACUGGGACGCUUGAGUACGCGCAACGUUGGCGGAAUUCGUCGUGUAGCGGUGAAAUGCUUAGAUAUGACGAGGAACUCCGAUUGCGAAGGCAGCUGACGGGAGCGGCACUGACGCUUAAGCUCGAAGGUGCGGGUAUCAAACAGG
rnacentral:rRNA from 1 species